UUCCAGCGUUUAAAUCUCAGGAAGUAGCUCCCAACAUGAGCAAGAGAGGAUGAAGUAAAUUCAACAAAAAGGAUCUACUUGAAAGUUGAAGUACAUCGCUUACACCCAGACAGAUCUGAAGAACUUGGGAACCUCACCAGGAAAAUCAUCUUGUUCUUGGAGUUUAUUCACAAGGUUAGAUAGAAAUAGAUCCACACAUGUUAUUCUCUAUCAUGCAGAAUUGUCGCUAAACUUGUAACUUGGGAAGCUCAUUCAAUAAUACAGACAUGGGUGAUUUCUGUCCCAGGGGACUGAACUGUAUGCAGGUUUUUGUUCAAUUUAGACCACAAUUAGUUGAGGUGUUAGUGAAGUUCUGGAACAAAAAUGCUGCCACCACUAUGCUUCACCAUAGCGAUGGUGCCAGGUUUCCUCCAGAUGUGACGCUUGGAAUUUAGUCCAAAGAGUUCAAACUCCAAGCAGGCUGUCAUGUGCCUUUUACUGAGGAGGGGCUUCUGUCUGGCCACUCUACCAUAAAGGCCUGUUUGGUGUAGUGCUGCAGAGAUGGUUGUCCUUCUGGAAGGUUCUCCCAUCUCCACAGAGGAUCUCUGUAGCUCUCUGUCAUCUCCCUGACCAAGGCCCUUCUCCCCCGUUUGCUCAGUUUGGCUGGGCGGCCAGCUCUAGGAAGAGUCUCGGGGGGGGUUCCAAACUUCUUCCAUUUAAGAAUGAUGGUGGCCUUCAUCAUGGAGGACCUUCAACGCUGCAGACAUUUGUUGGUACCUUUCCCCAGAUCUGUGCCCUGAAACAAUCCUGUCUCAGAGCUCUAUGGACAAUUCCUUCAAUAUCAUGGCUUGGUUUUUGCUCUGACAUGCACUGUCAACUGUGGGACCUUAUAUAGGCAAGUUUGUGCCUUUCCAAAUCAUGUCCAAUCAAUUGCAUUUACCACAGGUGGACUGAGUUGGAGAAACAUCUCAAGGAUGAUCAAUGGAUCCGGAUGCACCUGAGCUCAAUUUCGAGUCAAGUAGCAACGGGACUGAAUACUUGUGUAAAUAAAGGGUUUCUCAACAUGGAUGCCAGUAAGAUCCUUCUAACUACAAGGCUGGGAACAUAGCUCAAAGGCCUUUAGUAUACUCAUCAUAAUAAACUGCAGCUAUGCUUUUGAGAACUUCAUCUUAGAGGCAUGUAUUUCAGUGUACCCCUACGUGCCUUGGCUGUUGAAUUCUCCUACAGAUCAGUGCAAUUCUGAUCGAUUUUGUCAAUGUAUUAUGAUUAUGACUUUUUUUUCGGGUUAAAUUUCAACCACAGUAUUAUGUCACCAUGGUAAUCAAUUUUUAGCAUUGAAAAAUAUGUUGAAUUUGUAUCCUUGAAACAACAUCUGCUCUUCAACCUAAUAUCCACUAUAAGAAAAAUACUAGGCUGGGCAGCACUUCCUACUGAAGAGUAUCUACAGCUGUACCCUUUGGUCUCACAUUCAGGGUUUUAACAAAACCGAACCCUGCUGAUAUUUGUCACUGACUGUUACCAAAGUGCUAUCGUGAGAAUGAUUGUUUGAGAAAUAUACACUUAAAGAUUCACUGUUGCUAUCAAAGUCAGAGCAAAUUAAAUGUAAACUAUACAUUAUCAGUCAUAUAUCAUCAAUUAUGGCAUUUAGGCCUAUAUAUCAUUUGGGAAAUCCUCCACCACUAUUGUUUUAAUUCAAGCCAGGAUGCAACUAAAAAUAGACAAUACAUAUAGGCUUAGGGAUUCAAGCUUUGUCUGAUUUCAAAUGGAAUCUACAAGUUAGUAAGAAAAUAUGUUGGAUUCAUGUCUCCAUCUCUGCCAAAAAUUAAAGUUAAAGAAUAUGACUAAAUCAAAGCAAAGUGCACUUGAAGAUUUUUGGUUGAAAUAGAGACGUGAAUCCCACGUAUCAAUUAAUAAUUUGUAGGCAAAUUGGAAUUAAAAGCCUGACUCAGUGGCACAGACAGAACUAUCCGAGGAUACAUCUCCUUCACAUGUUUAGAUUUGGUUGUGUUGACAACCAAACACAAUUCAAUAUCACUUUUGCGAUACAGUAGCCUUGUAUGUCGACCAGUUAACAGCUAUGUUGGGUUCAGUUCUCCAUCUCAACCAAAAAUAAAUGUUAAAGAAUAGGAUGAAGCCAGUGGCUCAGAUGGAACUGUCUAAGCAGUAAAUACAUCUCCUUUAAAUGUUGAUAUUUGGUUGCGUUGUCAACCAAACACAAUUCAAUAUUACUUUUGUAAUGCAGUGAACAGCCUAAAGGUAAUGCUAUUUUACAAACUAAUGUAACAGUAUUUAUUCAACUUUAAAAUGAGUAACACAUCCCUGGUCACAUUUUGAAGUUACUAUAACAAUACAUGUAUUCUAAUGUAAUCAAAGAAAGUGUGCAUGUUCAAGAUAGCAUGCAAAUGUCGCAGGUCUGGGGAGAUCUUCCCAAGUGCUGUAACAGUCUGCACAGAAUCUCAAACUGCGUUGACCACUUGCACCAUGUACUUCAUUUCAGUUGCGAUUCAGGUCAUUUGGUUCUGCUACAAGCACAGUGAUCACACAUUAAGUUGUUCUAUAAAUAAACUA